AGAUCCUGAGCGCCUACCCCGGGUGGCAACGCCUCUCAGAGAGCGUCCCGGCCCGCCUCCUCCUAAAGCUCGGGCCCUCUGGGACUGCUAGGAGGGGAAAAUCGUUUCAGGAUUGGAAAGGAAGGUACCAAAAUGAUUGGAGAGGGCCUUUCCCCGUUUCACUAGGCACUUGGAGAAGCUGUGACAGAGAGCUGGACACCCAGCGCGUGCGGACCCCGUGCGUAUUUCCCCGGAGUCCGCGUUCCGUGAAAGGGAGAGGGGUGCGGUUAGCUCCAGGGAUUCUCUAGCCCUGGAGCCACC
rnacentral:lncRNA from 1 species